UACGUAGGGACCAAGCGUUGUUCGGAUUUACUGGGCGUAAAGGGCGCGUAGGCGGCUUAACAAGUCACUUGUGAAAUCUCCGGGCUUAACUCGGAACGGCCAAGUGAAACUGUCAAGCUAGAGUGCAGAAGGGGCAAUCGGAAUUCUUGGUGUAGCGGUGAAAUGCGCAGAUAUCAGGAGGAACCCCGGUGGCGAAGGCGGUUCUCUGGGCAUUACCUGACGCUGAGGAGCGAAAGUGUGGGGAGCGAACAGG
rnacentral:rRNA from 1 species